GUCAUACUGGAUGCUCCCACUGGUAUGUCCUCUGACAUCUGGUUCCAUGUAAAAGAGAACGUUGCACUGCUAACCAAGGUGUGCACUUAUGACAGAGUGGGACUGGGGUUCAGCAAAAGAGUCCUGCAGAAUGAAAGUACAGGGACGGAGAAAGUCUGGGGGAUGUCAACCACUGGACAAAUGGUGGACGACCUCCACCGCCUCAUCAGGUUAGCUGGUUUAGCCACGCCUUUCAUCCUGGUGGGUCU